UUUUUUUGGGGGGGGGGAUGAGUUUUGUGACGCCAGAAUACCUAUAUGCCUACGAAUAUUUUGCAGGAUAUCAAGCGGCUCGCACAAAGACGGACCUAAAAACUGACGGAGCCUACGAGCCACUCGGCGACCCGCACCAGCGGAGAGGCAGCCAUCGAAAGGGCAGCGAAUCUAGCUACUCCUAAGAGCUCCCCGUGCCCCCGCUCCUGGCCUGACUGCAUGGUGGUUCUACAAUGAGGAAGUGCGGGAGCACAACUACCCCGCGAAUGUGCACAGGAAGGUGUACAAGAAGCGGCCAUCCACCAUCAACCUGAGGCUGCUGCAGGACGUGGAAGCUAGUGCCUAACAGGUGUCCCAUAGUGCCAGAGGCAAAGUGGGUAGAAUGGUGCGCCAGCUUCAGCCAACACACCUAUCGGCCAGCAGUGGAGACGCCUGCGACUGGCUUUGGGUGCUGCUCCCUCCAAACCCACCGCCCAUCCUAAUCCACUCAUCACCACCAUUACCUUCCAUAAAGAUAAAUAAGAUGAAAUAGAUAUAAUAAAAAAUAAAUCAAAAUUUAA